UUAACAUCAAGCUCGAAUAAAACAAAUAGAGUAUGAAAGAGUUGACCUUAAUAUAGCCGGAAAAUUGAUCGUUUCACUGUUUUGAACUCAUAAAUGUGACAAACGGCAGAUGGACCUCGACUUAGCACCACAAAACUCAAACAAACCCGGAUUCAACCCCAAACGAGCUCAACCAAUGAACUUUCGACAUUAAAACUCCUACUCAGUUUCUGUUUUGAUUUUGCUCUUUUCGAAAUGAUAUUAAAUUAAUAGGAACCAGCAGAAAGGAACCAGCAAAUCAGUUGUCACCGCGUAGAUACAAAGAGACAUGAAAACGGCUACUUAUGCAAAAUCAGCAGAAACAAAAAAGAAGAAACCAAUAGAACAGAUUAAGGUGAGCUCUCUUCAAUUAAAAUUUCCCUCUGAGCAGUAUACACAAGCAAAAUCGAAACCAUGGCCAACUCUUUCACUAUGUGAAAAUCAACAAGUACACAGGAAUCCGACAAUGAAAAUUUGAACGAAAACAGCAAAUUGCUACAGGGACUUGAACCAACAAAACUCGACUCCGACUAACACCUCUAAUAGGAAACCGAAUCGAAAAUCAUAAGAAAACCAGAAGUCGACAUGAAAAUUGAAAGGAUUGAGUUCGAAAUCAGAAUGAAACAAAAGACGUCCGUUCACCUCCCCUGUUCUCACUGUCCGCUUUGUGUGUUCAGAGGAAGCCGAGUCCUUGUUUUUGGGGUCUAGGUUUGUUGUUCUCUUCUUCAGUAAGAGUGAGAUGUGGGAGAUGGGAGCUUGGCGAAGCUGAGCAUGGGUGUGCGUUCAACAGUUGGUCUUGAAUGGUCGACUAGACCCACCGGCGAUCAAAUCCGGCGACAGGUGAGGGAAGCUUAGGGAGUUCGACCUUCUGCUUCGGAGAUGAUGAUAAGGAUGUGGCUAUGGAGGAACUAAGUGUGGAUCUUUGGCGUGGAGGUCCAGAGGUGAUCAGCGGCUGGUGGCCGACUGAUGUUCCGCCGGUGAUGAGGAAAAGGGGGGUCGUUUGGAGAAGAUAAGGUCAGGAGGUGGGGGUAUGAUUUGUUUUUUGGUUGUUUUCUGAAAUUGCGGCGCUUUAGAUCUUUUUUAGAGUCCC
rnacentral:lncRNA from 1 species